CCAGGUUUACUUUGAAAAAAUUAGAGCGCUCCAAGCAGGCUUUACACGCUUGAAUAUCCGUGCAUGGAAUAAUGGAAUAGGACGUCGUUUCUAUUUUGUUGGUUUUCGGAAAUCGACGUAAUGAUUAACAGGGACAGUCGGGGGCAUUAGUAUUCAGACGACAGAGGUGAAAUUCUUGGACCGUCUGAAGACUGACCACUGCGAAAGCAUUUGCCAAGAAUGUUUUCACUAAUCAAGAACGAAAGUUAGAGGUUCGAAGGCGAUCAGAUACCGCCCUAGUUCUAACCAUAAACGAUGCCAGCUAGCGAUCCGAGGGCGCAGAUUGUAGGCCCCUCGGGAAGCUUCCGGGAAACCAAAGCUCUUGGGUUCCGGGGGAAGUAUGGUUGCAAAGCUGAAACUUAAAGGAAUUGACGGAAGGGCACCACCAGGAGUGGAGCCUGCGGCUUAAUUUGACUCAACACGGGAAAUCUCACCAGGCCCGGACACUGGAAGGAUUGACAGAUUGAGAGCUCUUUCUCGAUUCGGUGGGUGGUGGUGCAUGGCCGUUCUUAGUUGGUGGAGUGAUUUGUCUGGUUAAUUCCGAUAACGAACGAGACUCUGUCCUGCUAAAUAGUCCGAGCGUCUCUCGCUGCGUUCGGAAUUCUUCUUAGAGGGACUGGCGGCGUCUAGCCGCACGAGAUUGAGCAAUAACAGGUCUGUGAUGCCCUUAGAUGUUCUGGGCUGCACGCGCGCUGCACUGAAGGGAUCAACGCGUCUUCCCUUUCCGAGAGGAACGGGUAACCUCUUGAAUCCCCUUCGUGGUAGGGAUCGGGGCUUGCAAUUAUUCCCCGUGAACCAGGAAUUCCUAGUAGACGCGAGUCAUAAGCUCGCAUCGAUUA
rnacentral:rRNA from 1 species